CCUGAUGAAGUGUGAGAAAAACGAAGUUAAAAUGAUAGACUGGGAUCAAAUAGAGUGUACGAUACUAAAAUCAAAAAGAAAUUUGUUAUUAAAAAAAGAAAUUUCAAGAUUCUUAAUAGAAUAGAAACUAUGAACUCAAUACUAGAUCAGUCUCCUCGCCGGUUUCGAGAUGCACAGUUUUUGUCUUAAAGGUCUAGCUAAAGCUAAAAUUCAGUUUGAUAGCUAUAUGGAAGCAAACAAGCUACUCAAUUCUGGCAAGUUAAAGGAUCUAGGCAUCUCUGUGUAUGUUCCCAGAUGUAAAUUAAAGAGAAAAGAAGCGUUGAAAGGUUCAACAAAGAAUUUGACACUGACGACCUAUUAAAUCAAGCAAAGCCACCCUACAAAAUUUUAUAUAUAAAAAAAGCUCAAUAGGAAGAUCUUUGAUCCUCUCAUUAAGUUACAUACUUGGGUUCAGAGUAACACAAUAUUCACCAUGUUUGAAAGUUCGACUCUCCCGCAGAAAAUACAAUUAUAUAGUUUGCUACAUCAGGAAAUUACACCGUACAUCAAAUCAGUCAAGGUUAACCAUUCAUGACCAAAUUCAUUCCUGCAAAGUAACAUGUCUCCUGCUCUCACCAACAAAAAUAAUGGCUUUUGUAUGGAUCACAUUCAAAAGAGGGACCUUAACAUCUUCUUCUGGAAGUGUAGAUAGACCCUAACAACAACAGAGGAAAUGCUUGAAUAUGCUCUACAUUAUAAGGUAACAAUUUAUGUAGAAACUUAAGCCAACUUCUUCUUUUUCUCUU